CCUACGGGAGGCAGCAGUGGGGAAUAUUGCACAAUGGGGGGAACCCUGAUGCAGCGACGCCGCGUGAGUGAAGAAGUAUUUCGGUAUGUAAAGCUCUAUCAGCAGGGAAGAAAAUGACGGUCCCUGACUAAGAAGCCCCGGCUAACUACGUGCCAGCAGCCGCGGUAAUACGUAGGGGGCAAGCGUUAUCCGGAUUGACUGGUUGUAACGGUAGCGCAGACGGCUGUGCAAGUCUGGAGUGAAAGGCGGGGGCCCAACCCCCGGACUGCUCUGGAAACUGUAAAGCGGGAGUGCAGGAGAGGUAAGCGGAAUUCCUAGUGUAGCGGUGAAAUGCGUAGAUAUUAGGAGGAACACCAGUGGCGAAGGCGGCUUACGGGACUGCAACUGACGUUGAGGCUCGAAAGCGUGGGGAGCAAACAGGAUUAGAUACCCGGGUAGUC
rnacentral:rRNA from 1 species